rnacentral:rRNA from 1 species
GAGUUUGAUCCUGGCUCAGGACGAACGCUGGCGGCGUGCUUAACACAUGCAAGUCGAACGAGAAUCUACUGAAAGAGUUUUCGGACAAUGGAUGUAGAGGAAAGUGGCGGACGGGUGAGUAACGCGUGGGUAACCUGCCUUAUACAGGGGGAUAACAGUCAGAAAUGACUGCUAAUACCGCAUAAGCGCACAGAGCUGCAUGGCUCGGUGUGAAAAACUCCGGUGGUAUAAGAUGGACCCGCGUUGGAUUAGCUAGUUGGUGAGGUAACGGCCCACCAAGGCGACGAUCCAUAGCCGGCCUGAGAGGGUGAACGGCCACAUUGGGACUGAGACACGGCCCAGACUCCUACGGGAGGCAGCAGUGGGGAAUAUUGCACAAUGGGGGAAACCCUGAUGCAGCGACGCCGCGUGAAGGAAGAAGUAUCUCGGUAUGUAAACUUCUAUCAGCAGGGAAGAAAAUGACGGUACCUGACUAAGAAGCCCCGGCUAACUACGUGCCAGCAGCCGCGGUAAUAC